rnacentral:rRNA from 1 species
UAGGGAAUCUUCCGCAAUGGGCGAAAGCCUGACGGAGCAACGCCGCGUGAGUGAUGAAGGUCUUCGGAUCGUAAAACUCUGUUAUUAGGGAAGAACAAAUGUGUAAGUAACUAUGCACGUCUUGACGGUACCUAAUCAGAAAGCCACGGCUAACUACGUGCCAGCAGCCGCGGUAAUACGUAGGUGGCAAGCGUUAUCCGGAAUUAUUGGGCGUAAAGCGCGCGUAGGCGGUUUUUUAAGUCUGAUGUGAAAGCCCACGGCUCAACCGAGGAGGGUCAUUGGAAACUGGAAAACUUGAGUGCAGAAGAGGAAAGUGGAAUUCCAUGUGUAGCGGUGAAAUGCGCAGAGAUAUGGAGGAACACCAGUGGCGAAGGCGACUUUCUGGUCUGUAACUGACGCUGAUGUGCGAAAGCGUGGGGAUCAAACAGG